AUUGAACGCUGGCGGCAGGCCUAACACAUGCAAGUCGAGCGAGUGGCAGAAGGGAGAGUAAUGUAUGGGAAUCAGCGCGAUAGAGGGGGAUAACUACUAGAAAAGGUGGCUAAUACCGUAUAAUAUGGGAUGAACCAAUAGGGGAUGAUCUAGUAGGUGGGGUAAGGGCUCACCUAGGCGACGAUCUCUAGCUGGUCUGAGAGGAUGACAAGCCAGACUGGGAAUGAGACCAGGCCCAGACUCCUACGGGAGGCAGCAGUGGGGAAUAUUGCACAAUGGGCGCAAGACUGAUGCAGCCAUGCCGCGUGUAUGAAGAAGGCCUUAGGGGUGUAAAGUACUUUCAGCGGGGAGGCGUUACCCGCAGAAGAAGCACCGGCUAACUCCGUGCCAGCAGCCGCGGUAAUAC
rnacentral:rRNA from 1 species